rnacentral:rRNA from 1 species
AGUGAACGCUGGCGGUAGGCCUAACACAUGCAAGUCGAACGGCAGCACAGUAAGAGCUUGCUCUUACGGGUGGCGAGUGGCGGACGGGUGAGGAAUACAUCGGAAUCUACUUUUUCGUGGGGGAUAACGUAGGGAAACUUACGCUAAUACCGCAUACGACCUACGGGUGAAAGCAGGGGAUCUUCGGACCUUGCGCGAUUGAAUGAGCCGAUGUCGGAUUAGCUAGUUGGCGGGGUAAAGGCCCACCAAGGCGACGAUCCGUAGCUGGUCUGAGAGGAUGAUCGGCCACACUGGAACUGAGACACGGUCCAGACUCCUACGGGAGGCAGCAGUGGGGAAUAUUGGACAAUGGGCGCAAGCCUGAUCCAGCCAUACCGCGUGGGUGAAGAAGGCCUUCGGGUUGUAAAGCCGUUUUGUUGGGAAAGAAAAGCAGCAGGUUAAUACCCCGCUGUUCUGACGGUACCCAAAGAAUAAGCACCGGCUAACUUCGUG